UUUAACGUCACCAAACACAUUCCAAAGAACUAAACCACAGUUAUUAUAAAUCAACAUUUUAAUUACAGCUGCACUUACGUAUCUGUCUAUCCAUACCGCCAGAAGCAAAGUAUGAUCCAGAAGGAUCGAACCUGGCGACUAAAACUUCAGCCUAAAGCGUUAGUAUGAUUUAUUUCAAUACAACCAUACCGUAUGCCCAAACAUCUGUAGGUUUGGAACAUUGAGAUCAGAUGUUCGUUGCAAUACAGAACCCUCCGUUAUUAAGCUAGAAUCUUGGAUUCUAAUUCUUUUAACCUAUUUAUAUUAGUGCAUGUUUUUUUAGCAAUCGAACAUACUAAAUGUCCAUUAGUCGCACUCUCCGAUUCCUUUCGUUUAUCCAUUUCCAGUUUACUAUAUAUAAUAACUGCAAUUUCUGAUUGACAGUUUUCAGAAUUAGAACGUAAAAUGAAUAGCAGGGACGGGAGUGGAAAAUAUAUAAAACGGAUCGACAAUCGUCGCAGGGGUUUCUGUCACAACCAAAAUACCAAUAAAUCGGACUUUUCUUUGGUGUUCAAAUAACGAGGAAUGAUGAGCUCAUUCCUAUAAACAGGACUUAAAGUAGAAUUUAUAUGAACAACAUUUUGAUUACAGGCAAAAUCCCUAAAAAUUUACCCUUCUCAUGGAAGCCAUUUAAAAUUCGUUUAAACAGUAUAAAUAAAUUGUAAGAAAUAUCUAUUCCGUAUACUAUAUACAGACCUUGUUUGUGCUUG